UAUGUGAUCGUCUCUCGCAUAUCAAUAAGCGGAGGAAAAGAAACUAACAAGGAUUCCCCUAGUAACGGCGAGUGAAGCGGGAAGAGCUCAAAUUUGAAAUCUUAAAGGGUUUCCCUUUACGAAUUGUAGUUUAAAGAAGUGUUUUCUGUUGAGGUUUUGGUAAAAGUUCUUUGGAAUAGGACAUCAUAGAGGGUGAGAAUCCCGUAUUUGGACCUUUACUUUCAACUUUGUGAUACACUUUCAAAGAGUCGGAUUGUUUGGGAAUGCAGUCCAAAAUGGGUGGUAAAUUUCAUCUAAAGCUAAAUAUUGGCGAGAGACCGAUAGCGAACAAGUACCGUGAGGGAAAGAUGAAAAGAACUUUGAAAAGAGAGUUAAACAGUAUGUGAAAUUGUUAAAAGGGAAGCGUUUGACACCAGUGUUGUUUUUCUGAAAAUCAAUUAAAGAACUGUUUAUGCUAAGUUGUUUAGACUUUAUCAGCUAAUCUGCUUAGUUUUGAGCUUUUCUUUAAUGCACUUUUCAGUUAACAAGUCAACAUCAAUUUCUUUUGCUGUAAAAAAGCUUGAGGAAGGUGGCUUGAGAUUCGUCUUAAGUGUUUAUAGCCUCUUGCCUAUGCAGUCGGAGAGAUUGAGGUCUGCAGCGUAGAUCCUUCGGGGCUAAAUGCAUUUGUGCUAAGUUAUAACAUUUUAUAGACAACUUGUUGACUAUGAUUUGUCUUGUAGCUUACUCGCUUAUGUUAUUUUACCUACGCUUAGGAUGUUGAAGUCAUCGUAUCGCGC
rnacentral:rRNA from 1 species